GCUGGCGUAGCUUAAAUUAAAGCAUGACACUGAAGAUGCCAAGACAGGCCCUAAUAAGCCUCGCCGACA
rnacentral:tRNA from 1 species